CUCUCUCUCUCAUUCUUCCCCUUUCUUUUCUUUUCUCCUCACCUACCUCUCUUUCCCCUUCCUUCUGCAGUGUUUCUUCAUGUGGCCGAGGCUAGACUUGAACUCCAGGUCUCCUUGCCUCAGCAUCUAGAAUACCAGAAUGACAGGCAUGUGGCAUCAUGCCUAGGCAGAGCUUGUUUUGGGCAUGUAUACAGCUGGUCUGAAGAAAUGGCUCACCUCUGCAGUAGUAAUCAACUUCUUAACACAAAAUCCCAGGAUCAGACAGAAUAAGCCAUUCGAGAAAGAAGUAGCCAUGGCCUCCCACAUGGGGAUACCUCCUGCCUCUAGCCUUGAGGAUUCUCUUCUUUACACGUCCUGAGAUGGGGAGCACCCUGGCUGGACAUCUUUGAAAUACUUCUGGGUGACUUGAGACACUGAGCGGUGGACUUUGGAUGAGCUAUUUAUUCAAGUUUCAACAACUACUUUUAAAAAGCCAUGAGCACGCAACAUCCAAAUCACUUCUGGAGAAAUGAGGACACAUGUUCUCAUAUAUAUCAGCACUGUAAUGAUAAGGCUUCGACUCCUUCCUCAGAGCAUAGGUCUGGGCUGAAUAACAGAUAUGUCUUCUGACAGCUCUAAAAAGGUUCAAGAGCUCUGCUUGUCGACUCUAUCUAUGGACCGUGUUCGAUUUUACUUGGCGAUCCCUGGGGACGAUUUGAAAGAUGUGUUUAUUUUUCUAACAUCUAGUAUUUAAAGUACAGGCUGUGUAAGCUUUUAGCAAGUGGGACUCAUUUUUUUCUAAUAUUUGAUGAAUACUUGUGAGAAAUGUUUUAACAAAAUCACCUCCAGUUUUGAGAGCAGGCAGUUUGCUUUUACUUAUGUUGGAUUUUCUCACCUUUCUUUACACCCGUUACUCUCCCUUUUGUUCAUCUAAAGUGAGUAACACUGGGUACUCGGCUUUAUUUGGAAGGCUAUAGAGUCCUUGCCAAAACAGCCAGCUGUAAGCAAAACAAUGACAAUGGCUUGUCUUCUUAACGAUAUAUUUGUAUUUUAUUUGUGUGUGAACUGGAGGUACAAGCCGUUCUGAACCAAUUACAUGGAUUCCAAGAACUGGAUUCAGGUCCUCUCCUAAAGCAGCUCAACCCAUGGGCAUCUUUCCUACUUGAAAACAGACUGUCUAGGAUUACCCGUAGCAGGGAAUCCUGAACUGAAGCAGAAAUCGUUCAGAGCAAGGAGCCAACUAAAGGAGAAAGUUUCAAAAUACAAGAAAGAGAAGAAGUAAUCGACAGAACAGCGGCUUCCUGAACUGAAGGAGGGUUGAUGAGAGUGGAGAGGGGGUUAGAGAAAUGUGGGAGGUCUGCAGACCACAUACUAGGGACAACCCCUAAUCUGAUCAGGAAUAUCAUCAUCAAUUGUACAGAGCUGGUAACAUAUGACCUCAUGAAAGGGUCAUAUGAAACACCAUAUAUCCUGUUGAUCGGCUACAAU